UACAUAGGGGGCAAGCGUUAUCCGGAAUUAUUGGGCGUAAAGCGUGCGUAGGCGGCCACUUAAGUCUGUCGUGAAAGCCCACAGCUUAACUGUGGAGGGUCGAUGGAAACUGAGAGGCUUGAAUCUAGGAGAGGUAAGUGGAAUUCCAUGUGUAGCGGUAAAAUGCUUAGAUAUAUGGAGGAACACCAGUGGCGAAGGCGGCUUACUGGUCUAGAAUUGACGCUGAUGCACGAAAGCGUGGGUAGCAAACAGG
rnacentral:rRNA from 1 species